rnacentral:rRNA from 1 species
AUACGUAGGAUGCAAGCGUUGUCCGGAAUUACUGGGCGUAAAGGGUCCGUAGGCGGUUUGUUAAGUCUCCUGAGAAAGUUCAGGGCUCAACCCUGAAAUGUCGGGGGAUACUGGCAAACUCGAGACUGUCAGAGGCAAGUGGAAUUCCCGGUGUAGUGGUGAAAUGCGUAGAUAUCGGGAGGAACACCAGUGGCGAAAGCGGCUUGCUGGGACAGUUCUGACGCUGAGGGACGAAAGCGUGGGUAGCAAACCGGAUUAGAAACCCGAGUAGUCC